rnacentral:tRNA from 1 species
GGGGUUGUGGCUCAGUGAUAGAGCGCUCACCUCACAUGUGCGGGGUUCUAGGUUCAAUCCUUAGCACCA